CUUGAGCGCUAGCACUCUAUCACAGCUAACAGCGUUUCUAUGGGAACGUUAAUGAUUCCAUAGUUACAAAGACUUUCUUCUUCNGUUGUUUGAAAAUAAAUUAGUUAGUCAAGAAGUUGCACUUACUCGCUCCAUAACGUAUUAAUCCUCAACGCAUUUUUGUUAUCCGUUUUUGUUCUUGUUUUCGUUUUGUUCUGUAAUAGUUUAUAAAUAAAUAAAUGUUACAUNAAAAUAGUAGUGGUGAUCAGAGUUCAAACCAAUAGUAUUCUAGUUCCUGAUUCUUGCCGCUACAUUUAUGUUGAUUGAGCUGCCAUCUGGUGUUACUAGCGGGAGUUGGCUGAGACGCCACAAAUGUUAUAUAUGUAAAAAAAUGUACUUUCUUUAAAAUUGAAUUUGCCGCGCUAUCACAGUUGGGUAGUAAACUUGGCAAUAUGGAUUGAUGAUUAGAGAGGAAUAUAUAGAUACGAAAAAAGAGAACAGAAAGCACGUAUGUAAUUUUUAGUGCAAAACAAAGGGCAAAUAAAAGUAUAACGUGGAAAAAGGAACUUUAAUUGUCGUUUCUCUGUUGGGUCAAAAUGCCGUCGAAAAGAAAUGUCAAUAAUUCUUCUACAAGUAUAAAAACCGAUAAAAUGAAAAAAGCAAAAUCAGUCAAGACAUGUUUUAAUUGUGAUGAAGAAAAUUUAAAAUAUGCUCUUAUAAUAUGCUUAAAAAUGAAGAAAAAAUUGCUACAGCAAGCAAAUUAUAUAAUGUUCUUGAGACAAUUCUACAUAAUAGAUUUUAUAAAAUAGUCUCCUGAAAUUAUUGGAAGAGUUGGACUUGUAUCUAUACUUAUUAGUAAGAUUGAGGAUCGGUUAAAAGAAUGGGUGUUGGAAAUUUGUUAUAAAGAUGGUGCACCGGGAAUAAAGUGGUUUUAAGGAUUUGUGAAACACCGCCUACGAGUUAGUCGUAAAAAAGCUGAGAAUCAGGGAUACUAUAACUGAACAUCAUAUUCGUGCAUGGUUUAGUAUGAAAGAUUUUUAAGAAAGAAAUUUAAGAUUUAUAAGAAAGAUUUAAAAACAAAAGUAAAUAUAUUUAAAGAUCCUCGAUAGGUUUUUAACAUAGAUGAAAUUGCUAUCUAUCUGUUGCAGAGUGGAGGUAUUGUCUUAUCUAAAAAAGGGAAAAGCUGUUUAUGACGUAACAAGAAAUGAAAAAGAAAAUGUAACAUUAUUUACUGUAAACGCAUGUGGAGAAUCGGUAAAACUGAAAAUGGAUAGAUGUUCAUAAGCGUAAUGUACCUUCAUUGUUCGUUAAGGUUAUUACUAAAAAUGAUUUUGUUGCAUCUAUAAAAAAUGGCUUUGCUACAACUGGUUCGUAUUGAUUAACACUAAACCUACCACUCGCAGUCAAAUGACCAUGUUCUGUAAUUUAUAAAAAUGUGAUAAUUUGUAAAAAAUGCAGUAAAAUCUCAUAAAAUAUACAUUAUUCAUUUCUAAAUG
rnacentral:lncRNA from 1 species